rnacentral:rRNA from 1 species
AAGCGGUGGAGUAUGUGGUUUAAUUCGAACGCAAACGCGCAAAACCUUACCCAGUCUUGACAUCCCAGGAACCUGUAUGAAAAGUACCGGGGGUGCCCCCCUCACGGGGGGAGCCUGGUGACAGGUGCUGCAUAGGCUGUCGUCAGCUCGUGUCGUGAGAUGUUCGGUUAAGUCCGGCAACGAGCGCAACCCCUGUUGUUAGUGCCAGCACGUUCGGGUGGGCACUCUAACGAGACUCCCCGGUGAUAAGCCGGCGGAAGAUGGGGAUGACGUCAAGUCCUCAUGGCCUUUAUGAUUGGGGCUACACACGUACUACAAUGGCGAACUACAGAGGGCAGCAAGAUCGCGAGAUGGAGCCAAUCCCCAAAAAAAGUCGCCUCAGUUCGGAUUGGAGUCUGCAACUCGACUCCAUGAAGUCGGAAUCGACUAGUAAUCGCGGAUCAGCAUGCCGCGGUGAAUACGUUCCCGGGCC